rnacentral:rRNA from 1 species
GACGAACGCUGGCGGCGUGCUUAAUACAUGCAAGUCGAGCGAACAGACGAUGCGUUUGCUCCUCUCACGUUUGCCGCGGACGGGUGUGUAACACGUGUAUAACCUACCUAUAAUACUGGGAUCACCUCGAGAAACCGGCGCUAAUACCGUAUAAUAUACUGAACCGCGUGGUUCGUUAGUGAAAUACGGCUUUGCUGUCACUUCUAGCUGCAUCCGCGCCGCUUGAGCUAGUUGGUAAGGUAACGGCUUACCAAGGCUACGAGGCGUAGCCGACGUAAGAGGGUGGUCGGCAACAUGGGAAGUGAGACACGGUCCAUACUCCUACGGGAGGCAGCAGUAGGGAAUCUUACGCAAUGGGCGGAAGCAUGGCGGAGCAGGGCGGCGCGAGUGAUAAAGGUGUUGGGUGCGUGAAGACCUGUUACGAGGUGAGAACAACUGUGGAAGGAACUAUACCCGGAUUGACGGUAAUGAAUAAGGAAGCACCGGCUAACUACGUG